UACCAGCACCCCGAGUGGUCGGGACGUUUAUUGGGCCUAAAGCGUCCGUAGCCGGUUCUACAAGUCUUCCGUUAAAUCCACCUGCUUAACUGAUGGGCUGCGGAAGAUACUAUAGAGCUAGGAGGCGGGAGAGGCAAGCGGUACUCGAUGGGUAGGGGUAAAAUCCGUUGAUCCAAUGAAGACCACCAGUGGCGAAGGCGGCUUGCCAGAACGCGCUCGACGGUGAGGGAUGAAAGCUGGGGGAGCAAACCGG
rnacentral:rRNA from 1 species